rnacentral:rRNA from 1 species
CAAUAGCGUAUAUUAAAGCUGUUGCGGUUAAAAAGCUCGUAGUUGGAUUUCUGUCAAGUACAACUGGUCCGCCCUCCGGGUGAGCACAUAGUUUGGUCUUGGCAUCUUGCUGGAAAUUGUUGCUGCACUUGGCUGUGUGGCGCAGUGUCCAGCACUUUCACUUUGAGGAAAUUGGAGUGUUUCAAGCAGGCAAUGCCUUUGAACACAGUAGCAUGGAAUAAUUAGAUUGGGCUUUUGCUCCAAUUUGUCGGUUUCUGGAGCUGAGGUGAGAAUUAAUGGGGAUUGUUGGGGGCAUCCGAAUUUAGCCGUCUGAGGUGAAAUUCUUGGAUCGGCUAAAGACGGACAACUGCGAAAGCGUUUGCCCAGGAUGUUUUCAUUGA